AAGAAGAUAGCUCAGCGGGAGAGCACCGAACACCACGGUUGUCGAUGGUUCAACUCCAUCUCUUCUUC
rnacentral:tRNA from 1 species